rnacentral:rRNA from 1 species
GUGGGGAAUCUUGCGCAAUGGGCGAAAGCCUGACGCAGCGACGCCGCGUGCGGGAUGACGGCCUUCGGGUUGUAAACCGCUUUCAGCAGGGACGAGGCCGCAAGGUGACGGUACCUGCAGAAGAAGCCCCGGCUAACUACGUGCCAGCAGCCGCGGUAAUACGUAGGGGGCGAGCGUUAUCCGGAUUCAUUGGGCGUAAAGCGCGCGUAGGCGGCCAGUUAGGUCGGGAGUCAAAUUUCGGGGCUCAACCCCGUCUCGCUCCCGAUACCGGCUGGCUUGAGUGUGGUAGGGGAAGGCGGAAUUCCCGGUGUAGCGGUGGAAUGCGCAGAUAUCGGGAAGAACACCGGUGGCGAAGGCGGCCUUCUGGGCCAUCACUGACGCUGAGGCGCGAAAGCUAGGGGAGCAAACAGGA